rnacentral:lncRNA from 1 species
UUGACCAUUAAAUAUAGAGGGUAUGAUUUGAAGCCAAGUAGCUGCAUUACCACCACCAUCACUACCACCAUCACUAGUACUACCACCACCAUCACUACUACCACAUCACUAUUACCACCACCAACACUACCACCAUCACUAGUACUAACACCAACAUCACUACUACCACCACCACUAUCACUACUACCACCACCACCAUCACUACUACCACCGUCACUACCACCACCAUCACUACUACCACCAUCACUACCACUACCACCACCACCAUCACUACUACCACCACCACCACCAUCACUACUACCACCACCACCAUCACUACUACCACCACCAUCACUACUAACAUCACUACCAACACUACUACCACCAUCACUACUACCACCAUCACUACUACCACCAUCACUACUACCACCGUCACUACCAACACCGUCACUACCAACACCGUCACUACCACCAUCACUACUACCACCAUCACUACAACUACCAUCACUACUACCACCACCACCACCAUCACUACUACCAUCACUACUACCACCAUCACUACUACCACCGUCACUACUACCACAUCACUACCAACACCGUCACUACCACCAUCACUACUACCACCAUCACUACUACCACCACCACCAUCACUACUACCACCAUCACUACUACCAUCACUACCAACACUACUGCAUCACUACCACCAUCACUACUACCACCACCACCAUCACUACUACCAUCACUACCAUCACUACUGCCACCAUCACUACCACCAUCACUACUACCACCACCACUACUACCAUCAGUACCAUCACUACUGCCACCAUCACUACUACCACCAUCACUAACACCAUCACUACUACCAUCACUACCAUCACUACUGCCACCAUCACUACUACACCAUCACUACUACCAUCACUACUACCACCGUCACUACUACCACUACUACCACUACCACCACUACUACCACUACCACCAUUACUACUACCACCAUCAAUACAACCAUCACUACUACCACCACCACCAUCACUACUACCACCAUCACUACUACCAUCACUACCAACAUCACUACCACCACUACCAUCACUACUACCACCACUACCAUCACUACUACCACCACUACCACCAUCACUACUACCACCACUACCACCAUCACUACUACCACCAUUACUACCAUCACCACUACCACCACCAUCACAACUAGCAUCAGUACCACUACUACCAUCACUACUACCACCACCACCACCACUACUACCAUAA